AUUGAACGCUGGCGGCAGGCUUAACACAUGCAAGUCGAGCGGAGAGAGGUAGCUUGCUACUGAUCUUAGCGGCGGACGGGUGAGUAAUGCUUAGGAAUCUGCCUAUUAGUGGGGGACAACAUUUCGAAAGGAAUGCUAAUACCGCAUACGUCCUACGGGAGAAAGCAGGGGAUCUUCGGACCUUGCGCUAAUAGAUGAGCCUAAGUCGGAUUAGCUAGUUGGUGGGGUAAAGGCCUACCAAGGCGACGAUCUGUAGCGGGUCUGAGAGGAUGGUCCGCCACACUGGGACUGAGACACGGCCCAGACUCCUACGGGAGGCAGCAGUGGGGAAUAUUGGACAACGGGCGGAAGCCUGAUCCAGCCAUGCCGCGUGUGUGAAGAAGGCCUUAUGGUUGUAAAGCACUUUAAGCGAGGAGGAGGCUACUUUAGUUAAUACCUAGAGAUAGUGGACGUUACUCGCAGAAUAAGCACCGGCUAACUCUGUGCCAGCCGCCGCAGUAA
rnacentral:rRNA from 1 species